CCUACGGGAGGCAGCAGUGGGGAAUAUUGCACAAUGGGCGAAAGCCUGAUGCAGCGACGCCGCGUGAGGGACGACGGCCUUCGGGUUGUAAACCUCUUUCAGCAGGGACGAAGCGCAAGUGACGGUACCUGCAGAAGAAGCACCGGCUAACUACGUGCCAGCAGCCGCGGUAAUACGUAGGGUGCAAGCGUUGUCCGGAAUUACUGGGCGUAAAGAGUUCGUAGGCGGUUUGUCACGUCGUUUGUGAAAACUCACAGCUCAACUGUGAGCCUGCAGGCGAUACGGGCAGACUUGAGUACUGCAGGGGAGACUGGAAUUCCUGGUGUAGCGGUGAAAUGCGCAGAUAUCAGGAGGAACACCGGUGGCGAAAGGCGGGGUCUCUGGGCAGUAACUGACGCUGAGGAACGAAAGCGUGGGUAGCAAACAGGAUUAGAUACCCUGGUAGUCCACGCCGUAAACGGUGGGCGCUAGGUGUGGGUUCCUUCACGGAAUCCGUGCCGUAGCUAACGCAUUAAGCGCCCCGCCGUGGGAGGUACGGCCGCGAAGGACGUAAACUAACAAAUAGAAGUUAGACGGCGUGAGACGUGACCGAACGGACGACGACGAGGGAGGUAGG
rnacentral:rRNA from 1 species